AUGGAGUGGAGCUGGAUCAUCCUCUUGCUGGUGGCAGCAGCAACAGGUGUCCACUCCCAGGUCCAGCUGCUGCAGUCUGGGGCUGAGCUGAGGAAGCCUGGGGCCUCAGUGAAGAUAUCCUGCAAGGCUUCAGGCUACACCUUCAUUGAAUACUAUAUGCACUGGGUGAAGCAGAGACCUGGACAGGGCCUGGAGUGGAUUGGAAGGAUUGAUCCUGAAGAUGGUGAAACUAAGUAUGCUCAGAAGUUCCAGGGCAAGGCCACACUGACUGCAGACACAUCCUCCAGCACAGCCUACAUGGAGCUCAGCAGCCUGACAUCUGAGGACUCUGCGGUCUAUUACUGUGCGAGACACAGUGUUGCAAACCACAUCCUGAGUGUGUCAGAAACCCUGGAGGAGCAGGAAGCUGCCCUGGGACUGAGAUGA